AGAUGCCUGCUGUAUACGAGAGGAUGGACCUUUUAUGAGCCAACACUUAUGAUAAGGGAAUCCGGCUCCUGAUGUGGAAGUGAGGCCUUUUGAAUAAGGAACAGGAAUCAUCAGGGAGGAUACCCACCUGCGAGAGCAGGUUCAUCCGGGUUCAUCGACGGUACAGCGGGUUUUUU
rnacentral:other from 1 species